UACGUAGGGUGCAAGCGUUAAUCGGAAUUACUGGGCGUAAAGCGUACGCAGGCGGUUUUGUAAGACAGAGGUGAAAUCCCCGGGCUCAACCUGGGAACUGCCUUUGUGACUGCAAGGCUUGAGUGCGGCAGAGGGGGAUGGAAUUCCGCGUGUAGCAGUGAAAUGCGUAGAUAUGCGGAGGAACACCGAUGGCGAAGGCAAUCCCCUGGGCCUGCACUGACGCUCAUGCACGAAAGCGUGGGGAGCAAACAGG
rnacentral:rRNA from 1 species